GAUAAGCGCCGGUAAGGUGAUAUGAACCGUUAUAACCGGCGAUUUCCGAAUGGGGAAACCCAGUGUGACUCGUCACACUAUCAUUAACUGAAUCCAUAGGUUAAUGAGGCGAACCGGGGGAACUGAAACAUCUAAGUACCCCGAGGAAAAGAAAUCAACCGAGAUUCCCCCAGUAGCGGCGAGCGAACGGGGAGGAGCCCAGAGCCUGAAUCAGCAUGUGUGUUAGUGGAAGCGUCUGGAAAGGCGCGCGAUACAGGGUGACAGCCCCGUACACAAAAGCGCAUGUGCUGUGAGCUCGAUGAGUAGGGCGGGACACGUGGUAUCCUGUCUGAAUAUGGGGGGACCAUCCUCCAAGGCUAAAUACUCCUGACUGACCGAUAGUGAACCAGUACCGUGAGGGAAAGGCGAAAAGAACCCCGGCGAGGGGAGUGAAAAAGAACCUGAAACCGUGUACGUACAAGCAGUGGGAGCACAGGUUUACCUGUGUGACUGCGUACCUUUUGUAUAAUGGGUCAGCGACUUAUAUUCUGUAGCAAGGUUAACCGUAUAGGGGAGCCGUAGGGAAACCGAGUCUUAACCGGGCGUUAAGUUGCAGGGUAUAGACCCGAAACCCGGUGAUCUAGCCAUGGGCAGGUUGAAGGUUGGGUAACACUAACUGGAGGACCGAACCGACUAAUGUUGAAAAAUUAGCGGAUGACCUGUGGCUGGGGGUGAAAGGCCAAUCAAACCGGGAGAUAGCUGGUUCUCCCCGAAAGCUAUUUAGGUAGCGCCUCGUGAAUUCAUCUCCGGGGGUAGAGCACUGUUUCGGCUAGGGGGCCAUCCCGGCUUACCAACCCGAUGCAAACUGCGAAUACCGGAGAAUGUUAUCACGGGAGACACACGGCGGGUGCUAACGUCCGUCGUGAAGAGGGAAACAACCCAGACCGCCAGCUAAGGUCCCAAAGUCAUGGUUAAGUGGGAAACGAUGUGGGAAGGCCCAGACAGCCAGGAUGUUGGCUUAGAAGCAGCCAUCAUUUAAAGAAAGCGUAAUAGCUCACUGGUCGAGUCGGCCUGCGCGGAAGAUGUAACGGGGCUAAACCAU
rnacentral:rRNA from 1 species